AGGCAGUGUAUUGUUAGUUAGCUG
rnacentral:ncRNA from 5 species